CACGUGUAAGUGACAUGUCUCUGUGCUGAUUACAGGAAACAGAGUCCAGAGCUGUUCUACAUUUCCUUGUUACUUCGCCAGGGCUGAGACUGCUCCGUAGGCUACUUAAAGUCAUGAAGCCUAUUUUGCUAACAGUGGCUGUGCUGCUUCUCUUGUCCCACGUCAUUCCAGGUGGCGCUGAGAAAUGUUGGAAUCGUCGUGGCUCCUGUCGUGAUACAUGCAUCAAGAACGAAAGGGUCUAUAUUUUUUGCUUUAGUGGUAAACUGUGCUGUGUGAAGGCCAAGGACCAGCCACAUCUGCCACCUAAGUGAAUUAGUGCUUUGAAGUCUGAGGCCACAAUAACGAAGAUAAAUCUGCCCUGAGUCUGACCUCAGUAGAUUCCUGAGCUUUAUUAAAAUAACUUUGGCUGA